UGUGGUGUGUGCAAAAAACAAUGUAGUGUAGUUCACGGCUUUACGCUACUCAGUGCCAGUGUCUCCUUUCUUUUCCAAGUUGCUGAGUACGUCGGGGUUUGGUAGAAGUGCCAAACGAUUAGCUGCGUGGGCGAUUUGUUUUCCGGCAGCUGUGCGCAGUUUAACCACGCGAACGACUCCGUCCUUGCCUGGGUGAACUGCAACGAUGCGGCCCAUCGGCCACGAGUUACACCGAUUGCCCGCUGCAGUGUUUGGCUCGCGCUUGCAGUUGUUGAAGGUGCUCCGAAUACCAUCUAGCCGCAUGUUUCGCAUGUGUUUCUGCACCAACUGGUACUCUUUCAACCGAUUGUCUGGCGUUCCGGUGUGAUUGACUUCUGGUACCGCUUGCAUAUUAGAGACGAUGAGAAAGUGUCCCGGCGUCGAAGGUUCUAGAUCUGAAGGCUCAUCCGAUAAAGGAAUUAAUGGUUGAGAAUUCAAACACUGUUCCACUUGUGCCAGCAGGCUGCCUUCACCGCUGCCUCCCAUAAACCUCCGAAGUGUGGUGCCCGUGGAGGGAUAAAUUUCCAUUGGAUUUCGUUCAUCGCGCACCGAUUG